rnacentral:rRNA from 1 species
AUUGAACGCUGGCGGCAUGCUUUACACAUGCAAGUCGGACGGCAGCACAGAGAAGCUUGCUUCUUGGGUGGCGAGUGGCGAACGGGUGAGUAAUAUAUCGGAACGUACCGAGUAAUGGGGGAUAACUAAUCGAAAGAUUAGCUAAUACCGCAUAUUCUCUGAGGAGGAAAGCAGGGGACCUUCGGGCCUUGCGUUAUUCGAGCGGCCGAUAUCUGAUUAGCUAGUUGGUGGGGUAAAGGCCUACCAAGGCGACGAUCAGUAGCGGAUCUGGGAGGAUGAUCCGCCACACUGGGACUGAGACACGGCCCAGACUCCUACGGGAGGCCGCAGUGGGGAAUUUUGGACAAUGGGCGCAAGCCUGAUCCAGCCAUGCCGCGUGUCUGAAGAAGGCCUUCGGGUUGUAAAGGACUUUUGUCAGGGAAGAAAAGGCUGUUGCUAAUAUCAAGAGCUGAUGACGGUACCUGAAGAAUAAGCACCGGCUAACUACGUG